rnacentral:rRNA from 1 species
AUUGAACGCUGGCGGCAGGCCUAACACAUGCAAGUCGAGCGGAUGAGGGGAGCUUGCUCCCUGAUUUAGCGGCGGACGGGUGAGUAAUGUAUAGGGAGCUGCCCGAUAGAGGGGGAUACCAGUUGGAAACGACUGUUAAUACCGCAUAAUGUCUACGGACCAAAGUGUGGGACCUUCGGGCCACAUGCUAUCGGAUGCACCUAUAUGGGAUUAGCUAGUUGGUGGGGUAACGGCUCACCAAGGCGACGAUCCCUAGCUGGUUUGAGAGGAUGAUAAGCCACACUGGAACUGAGACACGGUCCAGACUCCUACGGGAGGCAGCAGUGGGGAAUAUUGGACAAUGGGCGCAAGCCUGAUCCAGCCAUGCCGCGUGUGUGAAGAAGGCCUUCGGGUUGUAAAGCACUUUCAGCGAGGAGGAAGGGAUGUAUGUUAAUAGCAUGCAUUUUUGACGUUACUCGCAGAAGAAGCACCGGCUAACUCUGUGCCAGCCGCCGCAGUAAGAC